AUGUUUUUGAACCGUACUGAAUUUAUUUGACGGUCAGUUUUUGAUUACAGGCAGACUCUAAUAAAACUACCAGGUUACAUCAGCAUAUAUCACAGUAACUCAAGUUAGACAUUAUGAUGUUCUGGACCUUUGCUGACUGGACCUCUCUGAAUUUUAGCUGAAUACCCCUGGCUUAGAAGAAGAGGGACAUGAGUCUAGAACUUCUAAUGACCCAACAUCAGUCAGUGGAGAAAAAAUAAGAAAAAGAAAGCAAAGCUAAAUGGCUGCUUUAAGGAAUUUAAGACAUGGAUGGGACUUAGGAAGCCUUGAUUUUAAGCUAAAUGCUUUAGAAGUCGAAAUGUCCAGUCCUUCCUUAUCUCUAACAAUUUCCUUAAAGAGGUCAUUUAGCCGUGAAAGCCUCAACACUUCACGGUUUGCCAGUAGGCGCUCUUCCACCACUGUCUGACAGAAAUGUCUGUAGCCUGCCUGAUACGGAUUUGCCUCUUCAGAAACCUCUCUCUUUGUUCCUCUCAGGUAUCUUGUGUAAUUUGCGAAGCAACUGUGGUGAUAGAUGGCCUCUUCCACGGAUUUGAAGCAACAGGUGUUCAUCCUUCUUCCCCUCAGCAGCAUGAAGGAGUUGAUCUGCUGUGGUAAACAAAGUUUAUACUCGGGCAUGCAACAGGCAGGAGCUGUGGAGCCCUUUUGGGUUGUUCUGGGCCACUUGAAGAGCGCAGAACCCGAACCUUGGAUGCAGCACCAUCACUGGUAUCUGGCAGCAGUUCUUCUGAACAUUGUAAUGGCACUAAAAUGUAAGUUACAAGUGAUCAAUAAAUAGAAAUGAUCUAAAUUCACAUUGUUUCUAACAAUUGUAAAUAAAUUAAAAA